rnacentral:piRNA from 1 species
UUAUACUUUUUUACUGCCUCUCUGG